rnacentral:rRNA from 1 species
UGGGGAAUAUUGGGCAAUGGGCGCAAGCCUGACCCAGCAACGCCGCGUGCGGGAAGAAGGUUUUCGGAUUGUAAACCUCUGUCGCAGAUGACGAAACAAAUGACGGUAAUCUGUGAGGAAGCCCCGGCUAACUACGUGCCAGCAGCCGCGGUAAUACGUAGGGGGCGAGCGUUGUCCGGAAUUACUGGUAGUAAAGGGAGCGUAGGCGGUUAAUUAAGUUGGAUGUGAAAUACCCGGGCUUAACUUGGGGGGUGCAUCCGAUACUGGUUGACUAGAGUACAGGAGAGGAAAGCGGAAUUCCUAGUGUAGCGGUGAAAUGCAUAGAUAUUAGGAGGAACAUCAGUGGCGAAGGCGGCUUUCUGGACUGACACUGACGCUGAGGCUCGAAAGCGUGGGGAGCAAACA